UGUGGCUAUUGAGCACACAUUACAUAUCUACUUAGACAUUUCCUAUGGCCAGAACAAAGGCCCUUGAGAUAAAGGUGCAAGUUUCCCCCACAUUAGCAUUUCCUUAGGGAUAAGCAUUUUUCCUUAGGCUAGGAACUGAUUGCUGCACUCACCUCCCAGCUCACCUGUGACCACCCAGCUGGAGACAACAGACUGCCACCCUGCUGUGUUCACAGAGACAGAAGACCUACCUGCUAUUUCCAUCAAUCGCUGUGCCGACAGAAGACCUACCUGCUAUUUCCAUCAAUCGCUGUGCCGACAGAGCAGUCUCGCGACUAUUGUAAAAGGGACAUUUCAAUCCUAUGUGAAACAUCCUCUUUGAGGGUAUAUAACCACCCUUAUACCCCCACUUCUUUGGAGUGCUCUGUUCCUUUGUGGAAAGACUCUCCCGGGUUAUAAUCCUCAGAUUUAAGCUCAGAAUAAACUCACCCAAAUUUUCAUUUAUAGAUUGGAUAUCGAUUAUUUUCGUCGACAGUUCUUGGCGUAGUCGCGGCAGGAUUUCAGAGAAACCCACCAGAGGCCACCUGGAAUCUACACUGAACCGGCAUUCGGUACCAAUAAGGGCCCAUUGAGCCCCCCGGAUCACUGCAUUCUUCAGGUGACCUUGUCGAGGUUAAGUUCAGGCUGGACCUGACCAGAACCUGGACCUCCUGUAAAUCGAAAACUUGGGUUUGUCUGUGCCUUUGUGAUGCAGUUGGACAGGUAGAUCAACCUGGAAUGUAAUUUGAGUUAAAACCCAGUUUCUGAGAAAUCAAGAGUUUUGGCAUAAAAGAAGUCCCAGAACUAAAGGAUCAUGGACUGUAACCUGAAGAAUUUAUUUAUGGAAAGAGACAUCAAAUAAGACUCUUUGCAGCCCUGUUGAAAAGGACAAUACCAGGAGGAGAAGAAGACGACAUCUGUUGUAGACAGCUGUCCCAGACUCCGGACCAGGCCUGUAUUCCCA
rnacentral:lncRNA from 1 species